GACGAACGCUGGCGGCGUGCCUAACACAUGCAAGUCGAACGGGGCUCAUUGGAUUGAGGUUUCGGCCAAAUGAAUUUGAGCUUAGUGGCGGACGGGUGAGUAACGCGUGAGCAACCUGCCUUUCAGAGGGGGACAACAGUUGGAAACGACUGCUAAUACCGCAUAACACAUUUUGGGGGCAUCCCCGAGAUGUCAAAGAUUUAUCGCUGAAAGAUGGGCUCGCGUCUGAUUAGCUAGUUGGCGGGGUAACGGCCCACCAAGGCGACGAUCAGUAGCCGGACUGAGAGGUUGAACGGCCACAUUGGGACUGAGAUACGGCCCAGACUCCUACGGGAGGCAGCAGUGGGGAAUAUUGGGCAAUGGGGGCAACCCUGACCCAGCAAUGCCGCGUGAAGGAGAAGGC
rnacentral:rRNA from 1 species